UGAUGUUGUUUCCAAAUGCCAGAUAUGGACCCACAUGGAGCUAUACAGACUUUGUGCACGAGGCAGGAUAAGCAUCGUUCAAGUUUGCUUUUGGAUGCUCAUUUGGAAGGCGAGGAAGUGCCAGGUGUAUUGACUUGUCGUCACCGAGACAAAGGUCUGCUUGAAGGAGGGGUAGAUGGGUUAGAUCCACGAAUUCUCGCUUAUAUCACUGAUGCGGGGUUAGAUGGGCUGCUUCGGGUCCCACAUAUGGACACUGACCACGCAUUGAUCACAGCGUUGGUGGAGAGAUGGCGGCCGGAGACGCACUCAUUUCACUUGCCCCACGGUGAGAUGACCAUCACACUACAAGAUAUGGAGGUUAUAAUGGGGGUACCUGUAGAUGGCUUGCCGUUGGUGGAAUCUAUACCCUCGACGGGCAGUUGGCGUGACGUCUGCAGUAGAUUGCUAGGGCGUACACCGCCACAUAGAGAACUUAGAAACAACAGAAAGAACACUGGAGUGCUGGAAGGGGCGAGCAUAAAAGCCAAAUGGCUUGAGGAUCAGUUUUGCAACCCUCUCCCGGUUGACGCCCCCGAGGCGCUUGUGCAAAAGUAUGCUCGUUUUUACAUAUUGGAGUUGUUAGGUAGUACGCUAUUUAUGGAUAAGUCUGGAGAACGGAUCUCAGUUAGGUAUUUGCAAUAUUUCGAUCCAAUCAGCAACGGAAAGAAGUAUAGUUGGGGUAGUGCAGCACUAAGUUGGCUCUAUAGACACCUCUGUAAGGCAUCAGAGAAGACAGCCAAGCAGAUUGGGGGUGCACUACUAUUGGUGCAGUUGUGGGCGUGGGCGAGGUUUCCCCACAUAUGUCCUGUGAUGAGGCAUCCACACCAGGCACUGCCUCCAAGUCCACUUGCUGUCAGAUGGAAAGGGGCUAAGAUAACAACUGAACAUUCGAUGCACGUCCUACGUGCCUAUCGUGUGUCGCUUACUUCACUGCAGCCAAAUCAGAUUGUUUGGGAGCCGUACAGAAAUUAUUUGCGUUCUCUACCCGCAUAUUGUACGGCAGGCCAACGUAUAUGGAGGUCUAUUGUGCCGCUGAUACAUUUUUGGGUGGUUGAAGGCCAUCAUCCCGAACGUGUUCUCCGACAGUUUGGGAUGAAGCAAGGCAUACCAGAUGAUGUUGAUACUUCAAUUGAACUGCACAAGAUCACCCUCCAGGGCAAGCACGAAAAAGAUUGGGCCCGAAUACAUGCCCCGCAUAUUGCUAAAUGGGCUGCGCACGCCAGAAUUGCCGAUGCACCGGCCUUUCACGGGGAGAUGAACUACAAUGACAAGUAUUUGGUUUGGUUUCGUCCCCGCACUAUUCGCCAUAUUACAAAAGAGACUUCGUACUGGGACACUUUGGUUGAAUCACAGUUGCGCAUUAUAACGAAGUGCGAACCAGGGUCUGAGAUCUACACCGACUGUAUUAAUGCCUUGCAAGCUGUUGAAGAGAUCGGUCGGUUAUCCUUGGACCAUGCACGUGACGUGGGCAACACAAGUGAACCAGCUGUACGACGUGGUUGGCAAGCAAGUGGACGUCAAGGGCGUGGAGGAUGUCAAUCUAGCCAGCGUCAUACAUCUAGUCGGCCUCCCACAUCUGGUCAGCGUCACACACCCGUGCCCACAUCUAGUCGACGUCCCACAUCUGCUCAGCGUCCUACAUCUGGUUCGCGUCACACACCCGUGCCCACAUCUAGUCGACGUCCCACAUCUGCUCAGCGUCCUACAUCUGGUUCGCGUCACACACCCGUGCCCACAUCUAGUCGGCGUCACACACCCGUGCCCACAUCUACUCGGCGCCACACACCCGUGCAUGACCACACCAUGGAGGAAACAAGUCAGACAACAGAUGAGAUGUGGGACGACACUGCUUAUGACGUAGGCUCCAUGGCACACGAUGAUGCGGGUCCAUCCCAUACGUUUGCCCAUAGAGACACAUUUGGGUCCCCAUCCAUGAGGAGCGAUGGUACUUGCCCACCCACACCCCCUAGUACAUCUCUGUUGCCCACCACCUGUACGUCUCCCCCACUGACUGCCGGCCCUGCCCCCGCAGUUUUAGAUGGUAGAGAUGAGAUGAGGUUCAUGCCCACUCCUGGGCGACCCACCCCUGUUGCUAUCCCCCCUGAGUUUGUGCAUACCGAGUUUAUCCAGACACAGAUACCCACCCCCCCAGCAGAGCCUUCGCACAUCGAGGAUCGGCCACGAAGGCCGCAACGCACACGGACACAUCCUCCUGACUGUGGGACUGGACAUGGCAAGGUGAGACCAGUCAAGGAACCGGUGAGGAGAAGAAAACGAGAAUGAUUCAAGGGCAGAAUUUGUGCUACUUUGGGUUUGUAAUGGUACCAAAAGGCUGGGACAAGUUGGUUGUAUCUAUUAUCUCUAUUGAAACUGGGAAAACAAUUGCGAAGUCAAGCAAAGCACUUGUACAUAAUGGAAGUUGUCAGUGGACGGAUUCUAUUUCAGAAACUAUAUGUUUUUUUCAGGAUGACUCUUCAAAGGAGCUACAGGAUUGUUUCUUCAAGCUUGUUGUCUCCAUGGGUUCAGCUAGAUCUGGCAUCCUUGGAGAGGCUACAGUCAAUAUGACAGGCUAUAUGAGUUCACCUGCUCCUGUUCCAGUUUCACUAAGAUUGAAAAAGUGCAAUCAUGGGACAAUUUUACAAAUAUUACAGGACUAAAUUUGCAGAGAAGAACUUUUACCUUCAAAAAAAAUAAAAGCAGCCACUAAUGAUUGCUAUUCUGCCAACAAAAUUUGAGAAGGUGAUUUUGGUCCUGUGUACAAGGUAUUACUCGUUUAGCAAAUGUUUAGCCAAAAAAAAAAAAAGGUAUUACUCUUACAUGGCUGAUCCCAUUGAGUAUUGAUUUUCCUGCUUAUCCGAUAAGGUUCGGUGCAGGUUGAACUACCUGAUGGUACUGUCAUAGCAGUUAAGCAACUCUCAUCUAAAUCAAAGCAAGGAAAUUGUGAAUAUUUAAAUGAAAUAGGCAUGAUUUCUUGUUUGCAACACCCAAAUCUGGUGAAGCUUUAU